UUUUUCCGGGGGUUCUAGGACUGGGCGUAAGGAUUGUUACCAGACCAUCAGAGGGGAGCGACAGCUCGAAAUCGGCCAGCUGCCUUGAAACCGACGGGGACACUAUCAGAGGAACAGUAAUGUCGGUAGAUUGUAAUACUACUACCAUUGCUAAGGUGGCAGAGCAGGAAGUCCACCCUCUCAACUGCACCGAAGGGUUCCUUUGGCAUAUCCCACAUGGCUGGUGCAGUCCCGUCCAGCUUGUGUAUAAUGUAACUGUGCCCAUGAUUCGAAAGCCGAAGGCGAGAAAAACCGUUAAGGUGGAGCUAAACUUAACGGUAGAAGGUUGGCAAGAAGCAAAGAUAAAGUGGGAGCAUGACGCCCUAGAAGAGGAAAAUUUGAGAUACGUUACAAAAACAUGCAAAUACACAGCUAGUAUUGUGUUCAGCGUAUCCAAAAAUGACCCGGACAAAACCGAAGAGUUGACGAAAUUGCGAAAAAUGUGCAAUCGGAAGGAACCACCGGCGAGCGGCGCAAAUCGCAUCGCCUGCUUGAUUAAGGGAGAUUACAAGCAAAGUGUGUGUCGCUUACCACGAGAAGACAUAACUGAAUGAUUAAUAAAGCCUGCGCUUCCUUCAAUACUAAAAAAAGCAAAGGAAGUGGACGUGUCAUCCCCCCAGAUUACAUUAUUGGGCUUCAGGAGAUGUUAGCCUCUUGAUACAGUU